ACGGCGGAACCGAAAAGCCGAAGAUGAGUAGGAA
rnacentral:ncRNA from 1 species